GCUUCAGGAUCUGAGGAAUCCUGGC
rnacentral:piRNA from 1 species